rnacentral:rRNA from 1 species
CCCUUAGAUGUCCUGGGCCGCACGCGCGUUACACUGAUGCAUUCAACGAGCUUAUAACCUUGGCCGAGAGGCCUGGGCAAUCUUGUCAACGUGCAUCGUGAUAGGGAUAGAUUAUUGAAAUUAUUAAUCUUGAACGAGGAAUUCCUAGUAAACGCAGAUCAUCAAUCUGCAUUGAUUACGUCCCUGCCCUUUGUACACACCGCCCGUCGCACCUACCGAUUGGAUGGUCCGGUGAAGCCUCGGGAUUGUGGUUCUUGCCGCUUUAUUGUGGCGUGACCGCGAGAACUUGUCUAAACCUUAUCAUCUAGAGGAAGGUGAAGUCGUAACA